rnacentral:rRNA from 1 species
GAUGAACGCUGGCGGUGUGCCUAACACAUGCAAGUCGAGCGACUUACUUCGGUAAAGAGCGGCGGACGGGUGAGUAACGCGUGGGUAACCUGCCCUGUACACACGGAUAACAUACCGAAAGGUAUGCUAAUACGGGAUAAUGUGCUUUUGUCGCAUGGCAAAAGUAUCAAAGCUCCGGCGGUACAGGAUGGACCCGCGUCUGAUUAGCUAGUUGGUGAGGUAAUGGCUUACCAAGGCGACGAUCAGUAGCCGACCUGAGAGGGUGAUCGGCCACAUUGGAACUGAGACACGGUCCAAACUCCUACGGGAGGCAGCAGUGGGGAAUAUUGCACAAUGGGCGAAAGCCUGAUGCAGCAACGCCGCGUGAGCGAUGAAGGCCUUCGGGUCGUAAAGCUCUGUCCUCAAGGAAGAUAAUGACGGUACUUGAGGAGGAAGCCCCGGCUAACUACGUGCCAGCCGCCGCUGUAAGAC